AGAGAUGGAGACUAACGUCUUCCAAGGGAGAUUGCGUCUCCACUUUCACCCUGGAACGCAGUCGCGGGGUAUAUCCCCCUGAAAACCGUACGUUGCCAAAUAAUGAUUUCUUUGGAUUAGAGAACUACAACUCCCCUGGGUCCUGAGCCGGUAUUUCCCUUUUGCGGCUGCACCGUAGUUAAAAACAAAGCUAAGUGUUCUGGGACGUAUAGUUCUAGCGUUCCUUGGGUCCCGCUGGCGAGCGUGGGCUUUCUGCAGCUCGCAACCGGCCUCGUGCUUUGCGGACGGUUCACUGCGCUUGGAAAGGGAUUGGCCUGGGGUACAUCAUCUAAAGAUCCUAGGAUUGCUGCAGGUCAGCAGUCUCCACUGGAAAAAAAGAUCUUGCAUGUAUUUCAAGUCCUCUGAUGAAUCAUGUGAUCUACUAGACCCUGAAGAUACAGUGAAGAGCAAAAGAACACAGAUGAAAUGAGAAACAAAAACGAUGGAGAAAACCAAAAAAGGGGACACAUGGGAUCCAGGCAAUAGGAGAGCCAGCAUAAGAGAGAGCCAGAGGGAUGCCCAGGAUGAGGUGAAGACGAUCUUGGAAAUCAGCCCAGAUGUGCAUGCACCAGUCCACGUGUGGCAGGACCAAGGGAAGUGUCUUCACAAAGAUGAGGCUUUGAUUUGUUGGAGAAACUGUUACCAGAAAAACAGGUCCCGAUCCCGACCCCAAAAGAGUAUUCUUGGAUCUUGCACAGGAAGGAAUUAAAGGUGAGUCACAGAGUGCAGUGAGAAGGAGAUAGUUUAUUGAAAGUUACUCAGAUACAGAGUAGGUGUCCUCAGAAAGCAAAAGGAAGAAUGCACCAUCUUUGUUGUAAACUCUUCUAAUGUAGGGGUUUAAUCUACAUAAAAGCUAAGUUAAAUGUCUAUGUGUGGGUGCUCUGACAGCAUGACAAAAUUUAGGACCUAUUGAUUUAAAGAAAGUUAUCCUUGGCAUUUUAGUUAGUAUAUCAAAGCAUGACUAUAAUAAUCUUAAAAGCAUAUAUUAUAAUGUGACGUCAGGACAUGUGGACAUUCUGUUGUCUGUCAUAGGCGUUUGUUCUUGCAGGCAUUAUUAAGUUGUUUAAUCAGCUGUAAACCUCUUAUGACCAUGGGUUGUGACUGGCAAGGAAUAUGCCUUGCUAGUUGAAAGAUGGAGUUGACUUUAAAAUGGUGUCACCCUGGCUCUCCUAUGCUUCUGUUUCCCCAAAAAAGCCAGGUUACUUGUCCUGUAGAAUGAUCCACAUUCUGAGUUUGGCUAAUGACAUUCUCAUGGUAUUAACUUGUUUCUUUAUAUGUUGUUUUUUCUGUUACCCACAAAAUAAUUCUUCUGAUACACAUUUGUAAUCUUACCAUGCCAGCAUCUGCUACUCUUCAUGUUACCAAAUUUCUGUUCAAGGACCACUAAAGCCACAGUCAGUGGACAUUCUGAGACCUCUAGGGGAGGGUGGAGAUGCUGUCCUUUAAUAUAGUCUGACCCAAGCAACCUCCCCACUUGGCAUGGUGAAUCUAGACAAGCUAAAGAAUUUACUACGCCCCAGGCCUGCACCAGCCCUCUCCUAAGACCUUGGGCACUCUCAUUUCCCUUUUUUUUUUUUCUAAAGGAAGUCAUAGUUUCUCAUAACCUUUGCUAGUGAUCCUGGACCUUGGUUGUUCCCUGAGGCUGUGUUCUCCACACUGCUGCCAUCACUGCUACAGCAGAGGUGCAGAAAGCUCAGGAGAGAGAAGGGAGGAAAAGCUGAAGAUUUUGUGUUAUUCAUGCUUUCCUGACUCCGGCGAAAGUGCUUCCUCCACCUGCAACCAUUUCUGUUUCUAUACUGCUGAGUCUUGUGUUCCCAAGACCAAGGGAAGCCCAUUUUCUUUAAAGCCAGUCACAGUUUCUGUUGGCUGAUGGAAUAUCUGUUGUCCAGCAGUUGUAUUCCUGCUCACAAAUGCAAAACAGUUUGAUGCCACGCACAUUCCAGGGCUUAGACUGGAAAUGCUGUCCCUUGCCCCUUUGUUACCUUCUGACAGGGAUCAGUCCAUAGUGUAGUUGGUGUCACAACAGUCCCGAAGAAGCCUUCCAAUAGAUACCCAAAUGUGAUUCAAAGUGGCACAGGCACACACCACGGUGCCACAUGGUGCCUAUGUAAAGCAGGUAUAUCAGGAAUGCUAAGCAGAGAAGUAGCAGAACACACUGAUCCCCAUGUUCUCAUUGUACAGUUGGGUGCAAUUAAGCUGGCACAAUGGACUCUUCUCAUGGCUACUGUUCCAGUAGUGUGGAUGCCCCCAAAUGCUGCAUAUUUACUAGGACAGCCAGGCAGAGACAGCUGUGUACUAUGAUACAACAGUAGUCCCUCUUAGAGGAAGUGACCUUGUUAGAAGUGGGAGUUUCUGAAGCUCUUCAGCUGUUACUGGCCUGCUCUUCCAUAGCGUUACUUCAGACCUGCUGGCCCAGCUAUCCACUCCGCUAACAGGUCUGUCUCUGCUAACAGGUCUAGCUCUGUCUCCUCAGCACAUGUUCUAGGCUCUGACUGCAAGUGCUGACUUGGGCUCCCAGCCCCACACAGACCCUCUGUUCCAUGAAAGGGCCAUCUAUGCAAAGUGCCCCCCAAAUGCCAAAGGAGCCAAUAAACCAAGGAACAAGACAGACAAAUCUAGUUGUCAGUAAAGAGUGUUUUAUUGGGGAACUUACAGACAGAAGCGUGGUCUUGGAUGGCAGGAAGACAGGUAGGUUUCUGCACUUAUUACCCCCACACCCAGGGCUUAUAUACCACAGGGGAAGAGUAUACAUGCUCUGUGCAAGACAAAGGCUACUACUGUCCAGAACAGGUAAGAAUGCUAAUGUGUCAUAGCCUAGAAUUUGUAUAACAUCAAGGUUGACAUGUUCUUACAAUAGGGAUGGUAAAUAAAGUGGGAAUCAGGAGUCAGUCCUGGGACUGGGGCUAAUCAGAAGUCAGCAUAGAGAAUUAGCAUCCAAGAGGGAGUCACUUUUCUCUCCACAUCCCAGCCCUCUAAUCCAGCUCUUACAAUCUCAUGGACUCACAUUUCCCCCAUAGUCCCUGAGCCUUCAGAGAGGGCUGUGGGUGACAUUUUGAUGGUGUGAGUGACACAUUUUAUCAAUUUGUUUUCUACUUGUUAAGCAGGGGCCACAGCAACAACACAAACAACAGGCGAUGAUAUGUAUGCCAGGUGUAAGACACAGAAUUAAAAAUGCCCUUUACCAUGUUUAUUCAGGAACCAAACCAAGAGGUAUAGAGCAGAACAACAAUAGGAACAGAAGACUAUGGGUGGAAUUAAAAAUGUUUAGUAGGUAUUUGGUGGGGCAGUUCUUCCCCAUUAAACAGAAUUACUGGUAGCUCCAUCUCUGUUGAUUAGGAACAUAGGAUUGUGGGCUGGGAGUACACACCAAACAUGUUGCCUGAGGGGCAAAGGCGCUGGUAUUAUGUGUAAGGUUACAGGGGCAGCAAAGGACCAUGUCAAAUGGCCAGCCAGGGUGCUUCUUAAAAGGGACUGUGUUCCAGUUUAUUGGUAUGUGGAGUGUUUUGGCCCAGACUUCAGCAGGAUCAAUGGAGACCACUUUAGUUGGUAGGGAAUUCCUUGCUGUCUGGAAAGAAAUGCUCUAUCCAACAUAGGGGAAGUUGCUAGUCCAACCCCCAUUCAAGUGUCUCCUCCCUGGCUCAAGAUCUUGAGGAGUUCUAAAUAACCUUUGCCAUUGGCCUUUUAUCUGCUCAGGUCAGAGAUGCAUCUGGUUGGACUUUCUUUACUAUUAUGGUUAAUGGAUCCAUCUCUGUGGUGGUCCUGAGUCAUUGGUGUGGUGCCAGCACCAUAUUUGUCUCAACUAAAUUAAGGUUUCUAAUGGCUUGAGGCAAAAUCUUUGUCUAACUAUGAAAGAUAUUGGAUUUUGAGAGUGCUCAAAACUGUGCCUUCAAAAUACCAUUUUUCCUUUCAAUCAACCCUGUUGCUUGGGGGAGUAUACAGUAAGUGAAAUACCCAGUCUAUGUCCCUUUCAUGCAUCCAGUCUUGGACACCGUGUCUGGUGAAAUGCAUGCCUCGAUUGCUAUCAAUAUGUGGAGGGUAUCCUUACAUGACACUGAGUUGCUCCAAGCCCCUGAUGGUGGCUGUUUGGUUUGCUCUUACAAGGGAAAGCUUGCAACAAUCCCAUGGCAGUGUAUACACAUGUUAGUGCAUACUUUCGUCUCAAGAUUACUGGCAAGGGUCUGAUGUAGUCUAUCUACCAGUCUGUCACAGGGGUGGCUGUCUUAUGUAUAUGUCCAGGUGUAUGUGGGAUGUGGCAGAGGUACAGACGGGAACAAAUUAAGCAGUUUGCUACCGCCACCACUAAAUCUGCAUAGCAGAGAGCCAAUCCUGCUCCCUUUGCUAUUUGGCAGCCCAUUCAUGCACUGAAAUCCCCACUGUGAUAUGUACCUAAUCAACUAGCUCAGUAUUCUAAUUUUUGCUAGGAUGUCUGCCUCCAUGUUUCUGGGAGGUGAAUCUGACCAGUGUGCUGAAGCAAUUAGGUCCACAGUGGGUUCCUGUAGACUUUUCCAAAUGUCUUUCCACAUAUCAGCUCCCCAUAAGGAUUUUUAAAUUAUAUACCAAUCAUCUCAGGCCCUUUGGGCAAGCCAAAUUGUAAGACCCUUAAGUACUGCCAGACUGUCUGUACAGAGAACUAUAGGUGGUGGCUCACGGGUACAAACCAACCAUGUAGCUUGGAGUUCUGCCCAUUGACUGCUCUGUUGCAUUCCCAUCUCAAACCAGAUACUGUCUGUGGUUGUGCAGCUACUACUGUCCAUACACAGGGUUACCUUGGCUCAAUGCAUCUAAGUACCAAGCAUUAUCAGGAAUGAGGGCCAUGCCUUCAUGUACCAUUGGAGACAUCUCCUGUGAGGGCUCCACAAUAGGGGCAGCACUGGACUCAUAAUGUACUGGCCCUAAGAUAGCAUGCAGUUCAUCUCUUAAGGGAUGCAUGGAGAAGGCACUAUGUUGUUGCAUGUAUGCAUGGCACUUUUGUAAAGUGGAAACUUGGGCAAUAGCUGAUACAGGCCUGGCAAACACUCCUACCCAGUCCUUGAUAGGAAACCUGUUCUCCCUGGUACCAGGAAAGCAGCAGUUAUGGAUUCAACUUGUGGCAAGACCUUCUAUAUCCCCAGGACCUGUUAUUCAACUGGGAAAUAGCAGGUUUCAGUACCCUUCCAUUAAUUGUGACUAAAAUUCUAAAGGAACUGCUUCCCUAUGCUGGACUUUAUAUUUUCAUCAUCCAAAAUUAUAGUUUAGUUUUACCUUUAAAAAUAUGUUUUUUGUUCUCAUUUGUUCCAUAGGUUUCUCCUUGAAAUUUAUAUUGUAUGGUAAGGUUUCCUAUUGUUUGCAUUUUGUGGAUUGCACGCCAAGGUGUGGUUUAAUGUAUUUCUAUUACCUGUAUUUUCUGUAAAUUGGUAGUUUGGUAUAGAGGUUUGUGUACAUUCAGGGUUUUUUUUUUUCUGUAAGUAUUGAUGGUUCUGUAAAAGGAAAAUAAAAUCUUGGGGCCCCAAAAUUACUAAGCUAAAGGGAAAAGUCAAGCUGGGAACUGCUUAGGGUAAACCUGCCUCCCAUCUGUUCAGAGUCGCCCCUCUGCUCACUGAGAUAAACACAUGUCUGAUUCCCUCAUUUGGAAAGGCUAAUCGGAAACUCAAAAGAAUGCAACCAUUUGUCUCUCAUCUAUCUGUGACCUGGAAGCCCCCUCCUUGCUUCGAGUUGUCCCGCCUUUCCAGACGGAAUCAAUCUUUAGCUUACAUAUGUUGAUCACUGUCUCAUGUCCCCUUAAAAUGUAUAAAACCAAGUUGUGCUCUGACCACCAAAGUUGUGCUGAGAAGUGACACCAAAGAACAUGGUGGCAUAAGAACUCCAAGGACCCCUCCCCUCCACAGCGGCAAUGUGCUUGUUGAAACACCAGUAUAAAAAAACUCGAUGAGAGCUGUGAUUGGAUUUAGUGUUGAUAUAUUUUUUGUAAAUUGUGGUAAAACAUGCAUACUAUAUAAUUUACCUUCUAACCAUUUUUUCAGUGUACAAUUUGGUGGCAGUAAGCACAUUUACAAUGUUGUGUAACCACCGCCAAUAUCCAUUUCCAGAACAUUUUCAUCAUCCCAAACAGAAACUGUACCCAUUAAACCAUAACUGCCCAUUCUCCCUACCCCCAGCCCCUGGUAAUCUCUAUUCUAUUUUCUGUUUCUAUGAAUUUGCUUAUUCUAGCUACUUUAUAUAAGUAAAAUAUCAUAUUUGUUUUUAUUUCUGGCUUAUUUCACUUAUAGUGUUUUCAAGGCUCAUCCAAUUAGAAUUUCAUUCACUUUUAAGGCUGAAUAAUAUUCCAUGCUUAUGUGCACCGUGGGUUGUUUAUCCAGUCAUCCUCUGAUGGACACUCGGUUGCUUCCACCUUUUGGAUAUUGGGUAUAGUGCUGCUAUGGGCCUGAGUGUACACAUAUCUGGGUGAGUUCCUGCUUUCAGUGCUUUUGGGUAUGCCCAAAAGUGGAAUUGUUGGCUCAUAUAGUAAUUCUAUUUUUACUUUCUUGAGGAAUCACUAUUCUGUUUUCCAUGGUGGCUGCACCACUGUAUACUCUCACCAGCAGUGUACAAGUGUUCCAGUUUCUCCAUAUCUUCACCAACACUUGGCCUAGUGAAGUUUACCAUAUUUUUAUGUCCUUAUUGGCAUUCCUUUUUUUUUUUUUUUUGUGAAACAGAGUCUUGCUCUGUUGCCAGGCUGGAGUGCAGUGGCACAAUCUCGGCUCGCUGUAACCUCCACUUCCCAGGUUCAAGUGAUUCUCCUACCUCAGCCUCCUGAGUAGCUGGGACUACAGGUACCUGCCACCAUGCCCAACUAAUAUUUGUAUUUUUUUGGUACAGACGGGGUUUCACCAUGUUGGCCGGGAUGGUCUUGAUCUCUUGACCUCGUGAUCCGCCCACCUCGGCCUCCCAAAGUACUGGGAUUACAGGCAUGAGCCACCAUGCCUGACCAGCAUUCCUUAUUUUUAUGUCCUUAUUGUAUAUCUUCUUUGGAGAAUUGUCUAUUCAUGUCUUUUACUUAUUUUUGAAUGAGAUUGUUUUGCUAUUGUUGAAUUGUAGUUCUUUACAUAUUCUGGAUAUUAAUUCUUUAUCAGAUAUGUGAUUGGCAAAUAUUUCCUCCUGGUCUGUGCAUUUUCUUUUGAUUCUCUUAAUAGUGUCCUUUGAUGCAAAAAAGUUUUUAAAUUUUGAUGCAUUCUAAUUUGUCAUUUUUCUUAUAUUACUUGUACUAUUGGUCACCAGCCAAGAAACCACUACCAAUUCUAAUGUCCAUAAGAUUUUCCUCAGUAUUUUCUUGAGGGUUUUACAGGUUCAAUUCUUAAGAUUAGUUCUUUGAGUCAUUCUGACUUAAUUUUUGAAAAGGGUGUAAUGGAAGGACAUGAAUUUUUUCCAGCAUCAUUCUUUUGCAUGUUGAUAUCCAGGUUUCCAGCACCAUUUGUUGAUGCACCAUCUGUUGCAGUGGGGCUGACACAUUUGUAAGAUGCAGUGAGCAUUAAUACAUGGGAGCACCAUGCAUUUAUUUACCUGUCUUUACUUCACAGUUGUUUUGAGAAGGCUUUCACUGACAGACUCAACAGAAAUGAAUAUAUAUGACUUCUUAUAAAAUCAUAUUCAAGUAAAAUUAUAAAUUUUAAAAUGUUAAGACUGGAGCAAGACUGGAACAUCACUAGACAAGCUGAAACAUAGGCUGAAAUGAAGGGUUAUGUUUACCUUGCUACAAAUUCUGUUGGCCCACAAUCUCUUAUGCUUAUUGCUUAAGAGAGCCACAGAGUGGGGUGAUAGCUCACAUAACCAGUCCCUGGUUUUCUGCUUCAGAAAGAAGUUUAAAUAUUCUGCUUAGACAGAGUAAGGAAAUUAACUGAAAGAUGUCUAAUGUGAAGUUGGCAUCUACAAAGUGAAGGAGUGAGUAGUAAGUGUAAACAUCAGGAAUCCCAGGAGAUUCUAUCUUUUUGCACGGAAAUGGCCUCACUAUGCACUGCUGAAGGGAGAAGGUCCCUUCAGGGGACCUUCAUGAUGAAGAAGAACACAAUAUGAUAUAGGAAUUUUCUGCUGCAGCCCUAAACUGAAUUGUCCUUCUCUCUAACUACAGGUCUCACAAAGUUUUAUAGCUUCAAUGAUUUCACCUGGGCCAAGAUUUUGGUUUUUUUUGAUGUUAUUUGUUUGAACUGCUGCCUGGGGCUUAGAAAAGUGACUUGGAUAUUUUGUCAAAAUGGAUUUUCUUUGAUGGAAUGUGAAAUCCGUAAACACUCUGCUUUCCUGCUGUAUCCCCAGAGCAGGUUGAGUACCUUGCACUUCUUCUCAGCACUUCGCUAGAAGUGGUAGAAGAUUUGGAGUUAGGGCCUCCCUCAAUCCCUACCCUUUCUUUAAUUCAGAGGAUCACAAACUGUUGGGAGAAGAGUGGUAUCUUGGGCCUCUAGCUGAUCUGAUGAAUAUUAAUAUCCAAUGUCCUGUAGUGAAGUCAUGUGUGCGUGUAACAUCACUUCUUCACGCAGUGUCAUAGGAAAGUGGGUUCCUGGACCCCAGGUUAAGAGCCUAAGCACUAAAGGCACAGAGCUAGAGCUCUAGGAGGGGAGGGAUGGCUGGGGUGGAACCUCGUCUUGUCAUUUAGUCCUGGGGCCUUUUCACUCCUUACAUGGUGGGUGGUGGGCGUCUGGCAGGUGCCGAUGUUGAUGGAGUCAAGGGAGGGAACUAGCCGGGACAGGGAAAAACAGGGUUGGAGAGAUAAUUAAGGUGGACGUUAUUUUUUCUGAGCGUAAGUCGUGGCUGGAAAUCUGGAGAGCCUGAAAGAGUAUCCCCCUACCCAAACCUGUUUUUUCCUUUUCCCUCAAGCCUCAUUUGGCCACAGGCCCAGUGUCAACACCAGGGGGCGCCACAGACCAUGAAGGCACCGUGCAGCUGGGAUUGUUUGUGGUCGGCUACUGGGUCCCUGACUUAACCAGGGGAGCCAAGACCCUGUAGCCAAGUGGCCUGGAUUCAACCUGCAGCUCAGGUCUUACUGACACUUCUCCCCCUGGUGCCUCAGUUUCUUAAUCUGUGAAAUGGUGAGGACAUUACAGCAUUUACCUCUGGGGCGGGUUUCUCAACAGCAGCACUAUUAACAAUUUGGGACAGAGAAUCUUGUGGAGUGGUCUGUCCUGUGCAUUGUGGGAGGUUUGCCAGCAACACCCCACUCACCCCCUCCCACCAAUCCCCAUGUGACAACCGAAAAUGUCCCAGGAUUUUUAGGUCUCCCUUGGGUCUAGAAGCUGCACUUAGGCAUUUUCCCACCUGACACUUGAGUUCAUCUCUGCUUUGGUCCACAUAAGGCCACUUUAAAAAAAUGUUGUUUCUUUAAAGAUUCUAACCAUCUUUUAAACAAAUCCAUUUUCUUCCUCUAUUUCUGCAUUCAGUUAAUCCUUCCAAACCCUUUGUUUAGUAUAUCUUGAAAUGUAUCAAUUCCUGUUCUAGUAAUUAACAUAUGUGACUUGCAUGAUAUCUGCUAUGACCCUUAGUAGAGCUCUGAUUCCUUUAGCACAGGGAAUGUGUUCUCGAUUCUGCUCUGGAUGAUGUAAAUCAAUUUAUUUUACUUUACUUGUCUGGGAUGUUGCUCCUCAUCUGUAAGAUGUAAAUGUGGAUAUGGCUUGGAUUACUAAGUGGUUUUAUUUCUUAAUUCACCUGACAUUUGUUGUGUGCCUGCUGCAAGUCAAAUACAUGGCAUGGUAUUGUUUCCUUGUUCACACCACAGCAAAUGAGAAAAUGAGACAUUAUAGCCAGGUGUGGCGGCACAGGCUUGUGGUCCUAGCUACUCGGAAGGCUGAGGCAGGAGAAUUGCUCCAGCCCAGGAGUUUGAGGUUACAGUAAGGUAUGAUAUCACCAUUGCAUUUCAACCUGGGCAACAGACCCUGUCUCUGAAAAAAGGGAAAAAGACCUUGUGAGCUGUCUACGUGUACUCUAUGUCUCAGGAGACUCAUAUCCUGUAAUUUUUCUAAAUGGCGUCUCCAUGUGGUCUUUCAUGAAUGUUUGUCUGGUAUUCUCUAUCCUUUUACUUUCAACUUUUCUUUACCUUCUACUGAAAUUAUGUCUUUUGUAAACAGCCCAUGAUUAUUUAUUUAGUUAUUUAUUUUUACCCCCC
rnacentral:lncRNA from 1 species